GACGAACGCUGGCGGCGUGCCUAAUACAUGCAAGUCGAGCGAGCUUGCCUAGAUGAAUUUGGUGCUUGCACCAGAUGAAACUAGAUACAAGCGAGCGGCGGACGGGUGAGUAACACGUGGGUAACCUGCCCAAGAGACUGGGAUAACACCUGGAAACAGAUGCUAAUACCGGAUAACAACACUAGACGCAUGUCUAGAGUUUAAAAGAUGGUUCUGCUAUCACUCUUGGAUGGACCUGCGGUGCAUUAGCUAGUUGGUAAGGUAACGGCUUACCAAGGCAAUGAUGCAUAGCCGAGUUGAGAGACUGAUCGCCCACAUUGGGACUGAGACACGGCCCAAACUCCUACGGGAGGCAGCAGUAGGGAAUCUUCCACAAUGGACGCAAGUCUGAUGGAGCAACGCCGCGUGAGUGAAGAAGGGUUUCGGCUCGUAAAGCUCUGUUGGUAGUGAAGAAAGAUAGAGGUAGUAACUGGCCUUUAUUUGACGGUAAUUACUUAGAAAGUCACGGCUAACUACGUGCCAGCAGCCGCGGUAAUACGUAGGUGGCAAGCGUUGUCCGGAUUUAUUGGGCGUAAAGCGAGUGCAGGCGGUUCAAUAAGUCUGAUGUGAAAGCCUUCGGCUCAACCGGAGAAUUGCAUCAGAAACUGUUGAACUUGAGUGCAGAAGAGGAGAGUGGAACUCCAUGUGUAGCGGUGGAAUGCGUAGAUAUAUGGAAGAACACCAGUGGCGAAGGCGACUCUCUGAUCUGUAACUGACGCUGAGGCUCGAAAGCGUGGGUAGCAAACAGG
rnacentral:rRNA from 1 species